rnacentral:rRNA from 1 species
ACGGAAGGCAGCAGUGGGGAAUAUUGCACAAUGGGCGAAAGCCUGAUGCAGCAACGUCGCGUGAGCGAUGAAGGCCUUCGGGUCGUAAAGCUCUGUCCUCAAGGAAGAUAAUGACGGUACUUGUGGAGGAAGCCCCGGCUAACUACGUGCCAGCAGCCGCGGUAAUACGUAGGGGGCUAGCGUUAUCCGGAUUUACUGGGCGUAAAGGGUGCGUAGGUGGUUUCUUAAGUCAGGAGUGAAAGGCUACGGCUUAACCGUAGUAAGCUCUUGAAACUGGGAAACUUGAGUGCAGGAGAGGAAAGUGGAAUUCCUCGUGUAGCGGUGAAAUGCGUAGAUAUUAGGAGGAACACCAGUAGCGAAGGCGGCUUUCUGGACUGUAACUGACACUGAGGCACGAAAGCGUGGGGAGCAAACAGGAUUAGAUACCCUGGUA